CAGUAGCCGCGGUAAUACGUAGGGUGCGAGCGUUAAUCGGAAUUACUGGGCGUAAAGCGUGCGCAGGCGGUUCGUUAAGACAGAUGUGAAAUCCCCGGGCUUAACCUGGGAACUGCAUUUGUGACUGGCGAGCUAGAGUAUGGCAGAGGGGGGUAGAACUCCACGUGUAGCAGUGAAAUGCGUAGAGAUGUGGAGGAAUACCGAUGGCGAAGGCAGCCCCCUGGGCCAAUACUGACGCUCAUGCACGAAAGCGUGGGGAGCAAACAGGAUUAGAUACCCCGGUAGUCCCUGUCUCUUAUAC
rnacentral:rRNA from 1 species